rnacentral:rRNA from 1 species
GUACGCUGGCGGCUUGCCCACCCAUCCAGUUGAACGAGCUUUUAUCCUUUAGGAAUUUAAAGUUCAGUAGCGAACGUGAGUAACAUGUAAGAACCUACCUUUAGAGAGGAAUAACUACUGGAAACGGUGGCUAAAACCUCAUAAGCUGCGGAGUAAAAAGUGAAAACUGCCUAAAGAUGGGCUUGCAUCUGAUUAGCUUGUUGGUGAAUUAAUUGUUUACCAAGGCAACGAUCAGUAGUUGGUCUAAGAGGAUGAUCAACCACACUGGGACUGAGACACGGCCCAGACCUCUACGGAGGGCAGCAGUGAGGAAUUUUCCGCAAUGGGCGAAAAGCCUGACGGAGCAAUGCCGCGUGGAUGAUGAAGGCUUUUGAGUCGUAAAAGUUCUUUUCUUAGGCGAAGAAAAUAGACGGUAGCUGAGGAAUAAGCAUCGGCUAAUUCCGUGCCAGCAGCCGCGGUAAUACGGAAGAUGCAAGCGUUAUUCGGAAUUAUUGGGCGUAAAGCGUCUGUAGGUGGCUUUUUAAGUCUACUGUUAAAUGUCAAGGCUUAACCUUGAAAAAGCUGUAUGAAACUAAAAGGCUUGAGUUUAGUAGAGGUAAAGGGAAUUCUCGGUGUAGUGGUGAAAUGCGUA